ensembl:ncRNA asRNA:CR45925 antisense RNA:CR45925
CUCGGCGUAGAUUCUACGACGCAUCAGAUCCUCCUCUGCCUCGUAGUUCUUGUCGAACUUGGACUAUGGUGGAAUCAAGUGAUUUCUAAAUAUUGCGUCGCUUGCUAGGACAUAUUGGGCCUACCUUGUACUCCACCCACUCCUCAUCUGAAACCAGGGACAUCUUGACACUUGUAAUUUUGGUGACCGACUAAAUUUCGUUUCAAUUCUCAGGUUUUAUCACGGUUUCGCACUGAGUCACAACAUAUAAACACAACAAAGAAACGAUAAUAUAUGCAGCUGAUCAGAGAUGCCACUUCGGUGAAAAACAAACAUAAAUAACAGUGGGCCCUCGUUUAUGAAAACCGGAU